CCAUGUGCAAGGCCAUAUAAUAUUCAAAGGCUUCCUCCUGAUCCAGGGGAGAGGAUUCCUAUUUCAGAGUAUGAUGUCGAUGAUCAAGAUGAAGUUCAGAGACGAUACAUUGCAAAGCAAGCAGUCCAACCAUAUGCACACAACUUUCAAGUCAUGAAAAUCUAUGGUAAAAAUCGACACUUCAACUUUGUUUGGUUUGAGACCUACAAAUGGUUAGAAUAUAGUGUCAAAUAUGAGGCAGCAUUUUGCUUUGUGUGUUAUUUUUUCAAAGGAAAAUCGAAUGGGGCGCCUAGGGGUGAUGCCUUUGUUAAUAGUGGUUGGAAAAAUUGGUAUAAGCCCGAUGCAUUGGUCAAACAUGUUGGUGGUAUUAAUAGCAUUCACAACAAAGCUCAAGAGAAGUACAAUUUAUUUGUGGCACCCCAACCAUCAAUUGAUAACAUUAUGGUG
rnacentral:rRNA from 1 species